CCUACGGGAGGCAGCAGUAGGGAAUCUUCCACAAUGGGCGAAAGCCUGAUGGAGCAACGCCGCGUGGGUGAAGAAGGUCUUCGGAUCGUAAAACCCUGUUGUUAGAGAAGAAAGUGCGUGAGAGUAACUGUUCACGUUUCGACGGUAUCUAACCAGAAAGCCACGGCUAACUACGUGCCAGCAGCCGCGGUAAUACGUAGGUGGCAAGCGUUAUCCGGAUUUAUUGGGCGUAAAGGGAACGCAGGCGGUCUUUUAAGUCAGAUGUGAAAGCCCUCGGCUUAACCGGAGUAGUGCAUUGGAAACUGGGAGACUUGAGUGCAGAAGAGGAGAGUGGAACUCCAUGUGUAGCGGUGAAAUGCGUAGAUAUAUGGAGGAACACCAGUGGCGAAGGCGGCUCUCUGGUCUGUAACUGACGCUGAGGUUCGAAAGCGUGGGUAGCAAACCGGAUUAGAUACCCGGGUAGUC
rnacentral:rRNA from 1 species